rnacentral:rRNA from 1 species
GACAGAGGGUGCAAACGUUGUUCGGAUUUACUGGGCGUAAAGGGUUCGUAGGUGGCCAACUAAGUCAUACGUGAAAUCCCUCAGCUUAACUGGGGAACUGCGUCUGAUACUGGUUGGCUUGAGUGCAGGAGAGGAACGCGGAAUUCCAGGUGUAGCGGUGAAAUGCGUAGAUAUCUGGAGGAACACCGGUGGCGAAGGCGGCGUUCUGGACUGCAACUGACACUGAGGAACGAAAGCCAGGGGAGCAAACGGG